CACCGCGAGAGCGAACUGGAUGCGCUCGGUCUAGUGGUGAUUAUUUGUGUCCGGGUCAAAGGAUAUGAGGCCAGUCGAGACGUGAGCACGAGAGCACAAUCGUACACACUUGUACAUUCUCAAAUAUUCUCGCAUAUUGACUACUGGACACACAAAUGCGAGUGCCUGUAAGCCAAGGUAAACCUAGAGUGUACUGUGUGCAUUCAUGCUUCCUUGCCUCGCCUAAAGUCUCGCCGAGACUUCCUCGGCGAAUGUGUACUGCCGGCAUUAAAUCGUGUUUAUAUUCUAUAGUACUAUUAUAUUAUUUUUUUUAAAUUGUAAAUUCUGAAUGAAGCGAGAAAAUUAUUGGUUUUAUAGUGAAGUUUAUUUAUUUAUUUAUUUUUUUUUUUUUUUUAUGUGAACAACACUUUUUCUACCAGCAAGCAUACUUCGAUUAUUAAGUAUGGCACAUUUCCUAAAAGGAAAUGUUCUCUGGGUG